UACGAAGGGUGCAAACGUUGCUCGGCAUUAUUGGGCGUAAAGCGCACGUAGGCGGCUUAGCAAGUCGGAUGUGAAAUCCCUCGGCUCAACCAAGGAAGUGCAUCCGAAACUGCUGAGCUUGAGUACCAAAGAGGAUCGCGGAAUUCCCGGUGUAGAGGUGAAAUUCGUAGAUAUCGGGAGGAACACCAGUGGCGAAGGCGGCGAUCUGGGUGGAUACUGACGCUGAGGUGCGAAAGCGUGGGGAGCAAACAGG
rnacentral:rRNA from 1 species